AUGGGAUCUCAUAAAACUGCAAAGCUUCUGUAAGGCAAAGGACACUGUGGAUAGCAUGUCUUUAAUCUCAGGUCUGGUAGCAGAGACAGGCGGCUCUGGACUCAUUGGCCAGGCAACCUAAGAGCCAAUGAGCUCUAGACCAAUGAGCAUGCGAUUUCAAAGCAGAAAGGUAACAUUUCUGAGUGUGAUGCCCAAGGCUGUCUUCAGGCUGUCACAUUCACAAAUACACAAAUGUAUGCAUACCUGCACACACAUGAACACAUGUAUAUGACAUGCAUAUAAAUAAGAAUUUGAAAAUAAUUAAACUCAUGAAAACGUAUGUAAUUUAGAAAAACUGGGCAGUCUAGGGAGACUAUCACUGUAAUACAGAAUCUCUUCAUUACGUUUUUUUCCCCCUCUGAAGUCAUACGCCAUCAAGAGCAAUUGACUAAGUUUCCAGUUUUGAGCAUUUUCUUUUCAUUCUGUCAGGAAUAUUAUACACCAACACACAUUUUUUAUGCCUCCGGACAGCUUCUUUAUGAUUUCCCAUGUUUUGUGGAGAUUGUUACCAUAACCACAUUGCAUUUGUUACAAACAGGAACUACAUUAGAACAGGUAUUAGACCGGAUUCCACCUCACUAGUGAGGGUAAGUAACUCCACACUAUAAAUAAGUUGGGUUAAUGUGUGAAUGAUGCGUUACCUGGGCCUGCAGCUGCCCAGGUGUUUCUUUAAGGGGUCUGCGAAGGAAGGGAAUAAACGUGCUGUGCAGAGGAUAGGAAAAUUAUUAUCAUCUGCUUUCCGAAAUUGAAGGAGAAUUUUAGCUCAGCAGAAACCUCUUGACUGCAAAAGUCUGAAAUUGCAUCCUGCUGGUAAGAAUGCCCGUUCGGGGUGGUGGGAAUUUGAACAUCCCUUUUUGCUUCAAAUCACGUAAAUGUUAUGAGUUUGGAAUGGAAGAAUGCUAUCUCUUCUUUGCAAAAGGAGAAGUGGCUUGUGACCCCUUAUGCCAACACUGAAGAGCAAAUUCCGAUUAGGAAAGUACUUCCUUUUUGCUUAAUAAGUAAUUUUAAUAGUUAUUUUUAAGGGAGAAAUCUUUGUCUUUGACAUAAACUUGAAUUCAAGUAUUUUAUUUUAACAUAGGAUAUUGCUUUCUAGACUUAAUUCACCAGUUGGACUUUCUGCUUAGUGGGACAUUUUUGGAAGUUAAGCUUAUUUUCAGGACAAAUGCUUUUGGUUAUUCAUAAAAAUUCUGUUCAUUCAUGAUUCUAUACUUCUGCUUUACAUCCCAUCAGGCUUCCUUAGUCUCUGCGUCUUUUUGGUUAAUACUUUGGGGGCCUGCAUUUUAGCUUUUCCUGAAUCUAAUAUUUUAAACUCAGAAUUGUUUGUUUCACUGCCUUUGUCUAUUUUUCCACUUUUGUCUUCUCCAAGUAACUUGCUGUGCAUUGCAUUCCUAUGUUUUGCACUGUAGUCUAAUGUGCAAAACACUCUGUUUAAAAAAAAAGAAUAAGCAAUUUUUUUCAUUUACUGAUAUUGAAGAGAGAUGUGUUUUCUUCUUAGGAUUUUGAAAAGUUUGUUUUCCUUGAGCAGGAUAUAUGUAGCUUUGAAAAUUAUGUAUCACUCAGGAGGCAGAGGCAGAUGAAUGCAUGGGUUCCAGGUUGGCCAGGGCUACACAGAGAAACCCUGUCUCAAAAACAAAAUUAAAGGAAAAGAAAAGGAGAGAGAAAAUAGUUUACAGUGAGUGAUGCUUCUCUUAACUUCAUAUGGUAACCUGAUCUCUUGGGACAUGAGAAUGCUUGUUAUACCCCUAUGAACAGAUGGAGAAAAUGGUGUAUAUUUUUCUCUUCCAUUUUUUUCCAGAUAAAAAUUCAACAAUACCAAUUCUAUUCUUCUCGUUUUAUUUCUAUAUUUCUUUUAUUUCUUUGGAAACACAACGUCAUGAAGGGGAGGAUGGCUUUGAACUCUCACUGGUAGCCUCUCCUACCUCCACCUCUUAAGUGGUGGUGUUAAAGGCAUGAACCACCACUUUAGGCUCCAACACAACUUACGAUAUUCUUACAUUCUUCCACAUUCCUGCAUUGCUUAUACUUGUAUAAUUUGAUUUGGUAUAUUUAAAUGACAUCUCCUGAUUUUCAGGCAUUGAGAAGAAAGCUACCCUCUGUACACUCAAAACACUUUGUAUUACAUCCUAUGUUUUUGUUAGUCAUUUCGAUUCUGUACUUUAAUGACAUCAUACUUCAUAUUCGAGUCUGUCAUUGGAUUUAUCUCCCUAGUUGAAGGCACCCAGUGCUCACAAUCAAUCCUUUUGUGUUUUUAUCAACAAUCAGUUUUUUUUCCACCUUUAGUGGCUGUUUCCGAAAGGGCUUAUGAUGAUAUUGUUGCCAGAGAGUCUGCACGGGCAGGAUAUUUGCUUCCAAAUUUUAUGUGUUAGGAGCUGGCUCAACUGGUCAUCAAAUCAGUGAUUCCCACAAAGCUGGGAUAGGAAUUAUUCCAGGACACCCUCUACAUGGUUAGAUAAGGCCUCUUAAAUAUUUCCCUUCUCCAAGAUAAAAGCAAUGAGCCACAGACGAAAACUUCUAAACAGCAGUAUGACUCCAGCCUCAUGGGCUUAACAUUCUGUCCAGUUAGUACAGGACACACACUGUACCAGCUGUCCCUGCACUCUCCCCACGGCCUGUAGAGCUAUCAUUUAGGAAUGUUUAGGGAUGGAAAGGGCCGCUGAGAUAUCCAAUGCAAAGGUAUUAUUUUAGGCUGAAGAAAAGGAAUGGGAAGGAACUGGAAGAAGGAAAGAGGGUUAUUUUCCUUUGGUUGUUUUUUGGUUUUGUAUCUUAUGGCUAAGCCACUACUAGUAAGCUGUUAAGCUUUGUACCGCAGUGAGAUCCAUGAAAGGACCCUUUCUACUUCCUCUGUCCUCUAGAAAUUCCAUGGGCAGAAGUGUGUCACUGCAAGUAAGAGGGCAUAGCAGGUGCCUGACACAUGGGAGAGUUCACCGUGUCUGAUAGCUCUUGUUAUUUUCCACAUUCUACCUAUGGAAUGGCACGCAGGUGGCGGGAUUCUGCUUUUCAGUGGGGUUUGUUGUUAACUACAUACGCAGCCAUUUUAUUUUCUGUUUCUUUUUAGAAUGAGAUUUUUUUUGAAUAUUUAAUUAUUCAUUUGUGCACAUGAAUAUGGGUGCUUGGGGAGGCCAAAGGUUUCAGAUCACCUACAGUUGGAGUUACAGGUGGUCGUGAGCCACCUAUGAGGGGGUGAGGAAUCAAACUCUUACAUCAUUUUGAGACGCCACUAGCUUGUGCUCAAGGUAUAGGCCAGAUUCUUUGUUCAAUACACACAUUUGGCCCAAAAAAUUCAUUAACAAAUGUUGCCAUUAAACUCAGGAGGUAAUUACUUUGGAUACAUAUGGAAUGAACAAAAUCCUAGGCCAACUGCAGGUGGAAGAAAUAAGGUUGAAGCUAGCCAUGUGUUAUACAAGAGACUUAAGAACAAAGACAUCAACAGCAGUGCAACAAACACACAGUUAUCCUCCAAAUGGAAGAAUCAAUACAGUUAGCAAAUUCCAGAAAGCAUGUCGGAGUUAUCUAAUACUGGCAAUGAGGAGCAUUUCCAAGGAAUUGGUUAUUAGAUCUGAAAUUAGUAAUGUGUAAUAAAGAGAGAUGCAUGCCGAAUUUUGUUCUCCUGUAACAGCACAGUUGAAGGGUUGCAUCUAAAAAUCUAUUCAACUUAACUACUAUUCCCAUGCUCAAUAAUGAAAUAUAGUUUCAGAUACAAGACUUUGCUUGAGACUACUUUAGACAACAAUCAUAGAUCUGUCAUGUCAAUGUUUUUCAAUUUAAUUUUUCUAAUAGUCUGGAUGGUUAGCCUAUGUGCACCAUGUGAAUACAGUGUAUAUGGAGGUUGGAAGAGAGACAUCAGUCUUUCUGGAACCAGAGUUUGAGGCUGCCGUGAGGUGCCAUAUAUGCUAAGAAUCAAACUCACAUCCUUACAAAGAAUAGUCAGUGCUCUUAUCCACGGAGCAAUUUCCUCAGCUCCUCCCACACCUUUCUAAAAUGUCAAAUUUUUUCAGAUAAGUAAAUACAUUUUUUUAGGCUUUUAAAAUAUUUUCAGCUUAUAUUAAGGAUGGAGCUUUUAGUGGACUCAGAGAGUAUUAUGCUAAGCAAAAUAAAAAGAUUCUGAAGGACAAAUUUUGGAGGAGUUCUACCAUAUAUUAAUGUGGAACGUUUUAAGGCAGAAAAAGAGAAGGGGGACCAUAUGGGAGGAAGAAGGAACCACACAGGUGAGUCAAGUCAAGAUGAAGCCUGUCAGAGGUGAAUAGGAUCAGAGGGCUCUCAAUGUGUGAGUAAAAUGUCACCAGUUAUUCUAAUAAAUAACAUACGCUAAUAAUAACACCUCAGUUAGAAAUCGUGUCAGAUGAUGAUAACUAUCGGAAUUAUUUUGAUUAAGUAAUAUUCUUAUUCUAUUUGACUAUCUCCUGAUGCAUUUCCAGCUUAAAAAAAUAAAAGACAAUAGGACCACGUUGAAUGAUAGUUUAAUAACUUUCUGUAUUUACUUAUAUAGAUUGUGAAUAUUUUUUAUGCUGGUAAUUUUUAUGUAUACAUUGACUUCUCAACAUGUUGAGACCAAUAAGCUUAUUUUAAUAUCUUUAUAUGUUUCAUGAAUUUCUUAUUACACGUGAUCAUAAUCAUUGCAAAAUAGGUGGUGUAUUUCUUCAUGGUCAGUCACAUCCGGCCAGGUGGUUGUUUCCUGUUCUUCCUGUUGGACUUUUAUUCUCCAGGUUAGAAAGAGAAAAGGAAUCCUAAGGGGACCAGGUCUUGGGAGCUCAAUUGAGCCUUCCUCCUCUCAGAUUUUAUGCUGCUGUGAUUCCAUAACAUUUCUGCCAUUUAAUUUCUCUUCAUAUAUUGCUGAGCAUUGCACCUGUCUCAUACAGGGUCCUGAGAUCGUGUUGGAACUGUGAUUUAAGAACAGAGUCUGAUAAAUAUGCUUAUGAUAGUAAGGUAAUUCACCUGAAGACAUGAUUCUGCUUGCCCUCACCUGCUCCACUGCUAGGAAAGAAGAGGAAGAAGUAAGGAAAAAGGAACAAGAAGACUCGUGACUCUGUAGAAUGUCCAGGGUUUAAGUGAUGAAGAAGAAAAUUUAAACGUGAGCUUGAAGAAGAAUGAGAAAAUUGCUAUGUUAAAACUUCGUGAUUUAAUGCUUUAAUGACCUGUGUCCUGAACAGGAGAGAAACAUGGUGUAAUUAAUAAUCCAAAGGACGGUGUGGACAAAGAGAAGAAGGCCAGCUUGAAGGGUGAUGUCAUAGAAAGUUGAGGGAUUUUGCACACUCAGACAAGUAGAGACAACGGUUCCCCAGUCGCCUUCUCAGUGUGUGCCUCCAUGUCAGCCUCCAGACAAUGUUUUCUGAAGUCAUAUUGAGGACAUACCAAGAGCUUUGUGAGAAAACGGCACAUCAUCAAGAAGCUUUUGAAAAAUGACAAGGACUAACUUUUUCCAAAGAAAAUGUUUGAUCCAACUUCUACUGAUCAAAAGGCAACUAAACAACUCUUCACAAUACCUACCCUUGAGCAUGAUUGGCUAGGCUAAGCAUCUGGUUCACAAUCAGGAGACAGUGAUUGGUUCAAAGUCAAAAUACACAUGGCAAAAAUUUUACUUCUAAAAUUCAAGGAGACGUGGCUUUGGAAUGCUCCCUCUGAAAACCUUUUGCUAUCACUCUUCUCUGUUCUAGUUCACAUGAUAUAUAUAACACCCCAUGUACCCAAUUAAUGAACAGAAAAAAGCUAAUUAUAUAAUUUUGUUACUCCUACUGCAUAUAUGAAAGUAAUGUUAAGUCUCUGUGUCCUAUGUACGUCUGAAGCUUUAUGGCCAACAGUUAUCAUAGAUGUCCAUUUUCUUCAGCUACAUUCAUUGUGAAAGGGAUGGAGAACAUCUGGCCACUGAUUCCUGGCUUUGUGACUUUGUCCAUCUGGGACUCAGCCACUCCUACUCCACUCCAAGUCCUCAGGCAGCCUUUUUUCAUGUUAUUGUAUGGGUUGAUCUGCAUUUAUCCACAGUCCAAAAUAGAUGAAGUGUGUGGAGAGGUUUAAUUAAUUCUCUCAGUGAGGACUUGGGAAAGAUUCUGAAUAUUAUUGCAUUUGGGAAUGUUAAAUACUGAAAAGAAGACGUCCUAUCACAAUGUGUCUUUCCCAGUGCUGCUUUUCUUCACAAGUUAGAGAAAUGGAACAGAAGUAAGAAGUAUGGCGACUCCAAAGCAAGCCCCUAAUAUUUUUACAAGUGGUAACUUGAAAGCUCCAACUUUCCUUCCAGCAUCACAAGAAGAAAUGCAUCUGACAUAUGAGUAGACAUGAGUGUUUUUUUCACCAACUUACCAGUUUCCUUUUCUCAAAGUGGAACUAAAGGUUACUCACAACUGCUUGCUUACCAAGCAGUGCCUUAGCAACACAGCACUAAAUUCCCCUCCUUUCUUUCCAUUUCUUUGGGCAGCAAGUUCAGGAGGAGGAGUUAAGGAGCUAGAGGCCCAGUGAGAAGUGCCUUCUCAUCCACCAUCCACAUGUUAGUUGUCAAGAUGUGCUUUCAUGAGAAAGAAAGCAGACGUUAAUGUCUGGACUACUUCCCGAGCAGCAUGAAGGGCUCACUGGGGUCAGAGCUGAGCAGGACUCUGAAGAUGCUGCUAGACCACAGGGCAGCUCUCUAGCAUCCCGAGUUACAGAGGUCAAUGACAGUUUGAAGUUGCAUUUUUCUUUCAUUAUUUAUUUUGUGUUAUUGGGGUGAGGCAAAUACCGUACAAAUAAGGUUAGAAGAUAACAUUCAGGAGUCAGCUCUCUUCUUCCUACCUCGUGGAUUCUGAAGAUUGAACUCAGGCUUGGGUGAAAGUGCCUUUGCCUGCUGAGCCGACCCAUUGCUCUUCAGAGGCUAAUACUACGAAUUAGUAAUAUCUAUUAUUCUGAAAUGUUAUUAGUUACUUUUCAAAGCUGAUCUAAAUCACAUUCAUUUAUUGAAUGCCUACUAUGUGACCAAUAACAGUUUAGACAACGUGUGGAUUUGAUAUCAUGUAGCCCAAGGCUUAGGAAGGAGUCAUCUUCCUACUUUAAGUGUGAGGCAACAGCUUUACUGUGACUAACCACCUUUCAUAUUUUACAACACCAAGUAAUCAAGCUAGGAAGUGUGAUUCCAAAGCUUAUAUUUCUUGUGUCAUACUAUGACAACAUUGUGAGAAGCUGAUCAUAGAACCAUCAAAUCAGAGAUGUUGGGCACAGAAGGAACUUUAAAGAUGUUGAUAUUCCCAUUGAAGUUAAAAUGAAGUUGGAAUGUUUAUGUGUUUUUCUUCUCUGUGAAGGGACAAUUCGUAAUUUUUGUCAUGUUCUCAAAGGGUUAACUCAUAAAUUUGAAGAGCCACUGUACUUAGUAGACUGAGAAAAUGACCAUCAUUUCCCUCCAGUCCUACCAUAUGGCAUCUCAUGCUUAUUCCCAAAAUGCUCAAUUUUCUCCACUGAUUAGAGCAAGGGCGGAAACCUUAGAAAUAAGGAGAUUAAAUAAUAAUGAAGUAUACGAAACUCCAUUUAGCUCAGUGGGCUGCUUGGCAGCUGCCCAUAGCCCUCUGGUUAUCAGCACACCCCAGAGGCUACUGUAGAUUCAUUAAUAUAAUUUCAGACUAGAAGAUUCUUGGAGAUCGUAUAAUCUAAUUCCCUCAGUUUAUAAACGAUAAAAGAAGACCCAGAGAAGUAUAGAGACUCCUACACCGCCCCGGAACGUUUUUGCUGGGUUGAUAAUGGAUACAUUUGCCCAGGUAUCAGAAGCUUUUGGCCAUCUUGAGUGCUUCCACCAUCAAGGAAAGGAGAAACUUUGGGAUCAUGUUCAAAUCGACCAUUCCAGUUCUUGGAUUGAUUUAGCAUAACUAGAUACUAUUUAGCUCCGGGGCUUUUAAUCCUAUUAGCCAUGGUGGCACCACAUCUGUCUGGCACCAGUGUGGUCUGUGGAAGACGUCGGGAAAGGUUGAAAUGAUGCUGAGAAUUCUCGUAUUCUAAGUCGGUAAACCCGAAAGAGGACGAUGCCCUUCUCAGACGUAGCUUAAUGAGGCAGACAUUGCCAAUUCCACUAACAUCAGCCAAGGCAUAAUGACAAAAUCAGUAAUUUAAUUAGUCUCUCACGAAUGAAAACAUUCCGUUCACACCAUUAUUUGAAGCAUUAUGAUUUCAUUGGUUUCUACUUCAUUGGAAAUGUAGAAAAAAAACUUUUAAAAGGGAAAAAGAUUCUUAUAAAAGUCUAGACCUUUAGACCCCCGAGAAGAAGAAAUGGCUAAAAUAUUAUUUUUAGAGGCCAUAGAAAAGUUUUAUCUCAGAGCAUGCUCUUGGUCAUGUGACAUGAUCCUAAGCGCUGAAAUCGAUUGUGUUUUUGGAAUGAAAACAUUCUCGGAAGCUUCCUUUAAAUGGACAGAAGGCAGCAUGUGUGGCAAGAACAACUCCUGAAACUGGACAAGAUGUGCAAAGUGUGUUGGAGAGUUCAGUCUCUGCAGAUUUCUGUUUUCUUCUGGAGAAGCAUUCACAGUUGUAUAUAUAGCUUUGUAAAGCUUAUUCUUCUAUCAAGUUAAAUUAAUUAAAAACUGAAGUGUAUGACUCUGUUGUAACAAUUUUAUACAACAGUAUACAGUUAAGGUGAUUGAGCUCAUUAUACGUAAAAAUAAAACUUUAAAUCUUCCAAACAACAUUUAAAAUCAUUCCUAAGAAAGUUUGUAAAGAAUUAACACUAAAUCUUUGGAGUCCAGUAUUAAGAGCACUGGCUGCUCUUCCAGAGAACCCAGGUUCAAUUCAUAGCACACACAUCUAUAACUCCAGUUCUAGGAGAUCCAGUGCCUUCUCCAUUCAUGGGGACCAGGAAUGCAUGAGGUACACAGACAUACAUGGAGACAAAAUACCUAUACACACAUUUUUUAAAUUAACAAUUAGUGCAAAAAAGCAGACUAAAAAUAUCUGUAUAUUUUGGUUGGGAUUUUGUGUUUCAGUAAAAUGUUCUAAACAGACUCAUUAUUGUAGUUUACCUUGGAAGCAGAGGAGGAAGUAACAGGCUGGCACACACUACUGUUCAUGAUAAAUGUUCCUCGGGUAUAAGACAGAUAGAAUGUGAAUCCGUCGCUCAAACAUUUCAAUUAAUUAACAAUACAAGGAAGUUCAUCUGAUCAAGUAUAGUUGUCACAGAGUUCAUUAUAGUAAUAAAAAAUUGUUACUCAGCCAUAUUUUGUUAUUGACCCUACUCAGUUCUGUGUGUACUUCUCUUGGAUGCUGUGGAUAUUGUAGCAUGUAUCAAUUUUUGUGUGUUUGUUUGCUUUUAAUGAUUGUGGAGGACAAAUGUGCUAUCAUAUCAUGCUUGUGCCUUUAUCCUUCUACCUAUUCUAUUGCUCCUUGUUGGUACCUAUAAUUUGGUUCCUAAUAUAUAAUUUUUAA
rnacentral:sRNA from 1 species